AUACGUAGGUGGCAAGCGUUGUCCGGAAUUACUGGGCGUAAAGGGCGUGUAGGCGGUUGAUUAAGUCAGGCGUGAAAAUCCAGGGCUUAACCUUGGACCUGCGUUUGAAACUGGUCGACUUGAGGGCGGGAGAGGAAAGCGGAACUCCGUGUGUAGCGGUGAAAUGCGUAGAUAUACGGAAGAACACCAGUGGCGAAGGCGGCUUUCUGGACCGAACCUGACGCUGAGGCGCGAAAGCCAGGGGAGCGAACGGGAUUAGAUACCCCGGUAGUCCUGGCCGUAAACGAUGAGUACUAGGUGUGGGAGGUAUCGACCUCUUCCGUGCCGCAGUUAACACAAUAAGUACCCCGCCUGGGGAGUACGGCCGCAAGGUUGAA
rnacentral:rRNA from 1 species